rnacentral:rRNA from 1 species
CAGUCGCCGCGGUAAUACGUAGGGUGCAAGCGUUAUCCGGAAUUAUUGGGCGUAAAGAGCUCGUAGGCGGUUUGUCGCGUCUGCUGUGAAAACUGGAGGCUCAACCUCCAGCCUGCAGUGGGUACGGGCAGACUAGAGUGCGGUAGGGGAGAUUGGAAUUCCUGGUGUAGAGGUGGAAUGCGCAGAUAUCAGGAGGAACACCGAUGGCGAAGGCAGAUCUCUGGGCCGUAACUGACGCUGAGGAGCGAAAGCGUGGGAGCGAACAGGAUUAGAUACCCGAGUAGUCCCUGUCCUUAUACAC